rnacentral:rRNA from 1 species
AGAGUUUGAUCAUGGCUCAGGAUGAACGCUAGCUACAGGCUUAACACAUGCAAGUCGAGGGGAAACGAUAGAGAAAGCUUGCUUUUUCUAGGCGUCGACCGGCGCACGGGUGAGUAACGCGUAUCCAACCUGCCCACCACUUGGGGAUAACCUUGCGAAAGUAAGACUAAUACCCAAUGACGUCUCUAGAAGACAUCUGAAAGGGAUUAAAGAUUUAUCGGUGAUGGAUGGGGAUGCGUCUGAUUAGCUUGUUGGCGGGGUAACGGCCCACCAAGGCAACGAUCAGUAGGGGUUCUGAGAGGAAGGUCCCCCACAUUGGAACUGAGACGCGGUCCAAACUCCUACGGGAGGCAGCAGUGAGGAAUAUUGGUCAAUGGGCGAGAGCCUGAACCAGCCAAGUAGCGUGCAGGAUGACGGCCCUAUGGGUUGUAAACUGCUUUUAUAAGGGAAUAAAGUGAGCCUCGUGAGGCUUUUUGCAUGUACCUUAUGAAUAAGGACCGGCUAAUUCCGUGCCAGCAGCCGCGGUAAUACGGAAGGUCCGGGCGUUAUCCGGAUUUAUUGGGUUUAAAGGGAGCGUAGGCCGGAGAUUAAGCGUGUUGUGAAAUGUAGAUGCUCAACAUCUGCACUGCAGCGCGAACUGGUUUCCUUGAGUACGCACAAAGUGGGCGGAAUUCGUGGUGUAGCGGUGAAAUGCUUAGAUAUCACGAAGAACUCCGAUUGCGAAGGCAGCUCACUGGAGCGCAACUGACGCUGAAGCUCGAAAGUGCGGGUAUCGAACAGGAUUAGAUACCCUGGUAGUCCGCACGGUAAACGAUGGAUGCCCGCUGUUGGUCUGAAUAGGUCAGCGGCC